AACGCGAAGAACCUUACCAGGUCUUGACAUCCCUCUGAAUCCACUAGAGAUAGUGGCGGCCUUCGGGACAGAGGAGACAGGUGGUGCAUGGUUGUCGUCAGCUCGUGUCGUGAGAUGUUGGGUUAAGUCCCGCAACGAGCGCAACCCUUAACUUAGUUGCCAGCGAGUAAAGUUGGGCACUCUAGAGUGACUGCCGGUGACAAACCGGAGGAAGGUGGGGAUGACGUCAAAUCAUCAUGCCCCUUAUGACCUGGGCUACACACGUACUACAAUGGCCGGUACAACGGGAAGCGAAGCCGCGAGGUGAAGCCAAUCCCAUCAAAGCCGGUCUCAGUUCGGAUUGCAGGCUGCAACUCGCCUGCAUGAAGUCGGAAUUGCUAGUAAUCGCGGAUCAGCAUGCCGCGGUGAAUACGUUCCCGGGUCUUGUACACACCGCCCG
rnacentral:rRNA from 1 species